AAGCAGUAGGAGUGGUGCAUUAAUUCCUGAGGGCCACCACAACAAAUUACCACAAACUGGGUUACUUAAAAAGACAAAGUUUAUUUUCUCACAGAUUUGAAGGUCAGAAGUCUGAAAUCAAAGUGGGAGCCAUCCUCCCUCCCAAGGCCCUAGCUCCCAGUGACUCCUGGCAAUCCUUGGUGUUUCUUGGUUUAUUCUGCAUCAUUCCAAUCUCUGCUUCCAUCUAACCAUGGCAUUCUUUCCUGUGUCUCUGUUUCCUCUGUGCCUGGGUAUCUCUGUGCCCAAAUCUCCCUGUCCUUUCUUUGAUAAGGGUUCCUAUCAUUGGGUUUCAUGCCCACCCUAAAACCAGGAUGAUUUUAUCUAAAAAUUUUUAAUAAAUUUCUACACCUGCACAGAUCCAAUUUCCAAAUAAAGUAACAUACUGGGAGGACAAUAUUCAACCCGCUACUAUGGUCAUGAUGAUGUCACAAUCUUGCAUUAUUCAUGCCUUAAAAGUUGUCGGACAGAUCAAUUGUAGAGGGGAAGACCUACUGGGGUGAUUGGCCAAAAAUGUGGAGACCUCAGGAUAUGGCACAGGAAGUGAUCUUGGUCCUUGCAUGACAUUGCAUACGGACCUGCAGCAGCCUCAUAGUCUUUCAUGGCUUACAGCAUCCCCUGGCUCUGAUAUGCAUGGGAACAGAAUCACCAAGUUCUAUCCUGAUAUCAAAACUGAAUCACCAGCUACUAGACUAGACCACAGAACAGGUGCUUUUCGGUGUGAUUUGCAGGAAAUUCUCCCACCAGAGACCCGUAUUAUGCCUGGCAUACAGGAGGCAUUCAGAACAUUUGAUGACUAGAAGUGUGUGUCUAUCUCAAUGACACAGGUAAUUCUGGGUUUUAGUUCUCUUUUAAACCUGUUUCCCUUGACUACUGAGAUCAAAGUUCUUCAUAUCUUAUUGAAAGGAAGCUGCCUCAGAAGGACAUAUUUGACAUUAUAUCACUCUUGUUGAUGACAACUGGGUAUCACAACAGAAAAGAAGGUGAAUGGAUCUCAAUCCUUCCUAUUCAGAGGACUGAAGUGUGAAGUGCCUAUCAGCACCUCCUCUGGCUGAACCCUUGGACCCUAAACCCAAGUCAGUGACUUUUCCCAACCCCCCAGGGAACUGCAUUCUCUUCAGGCUGGUGAGAAUGACUUAGUCUGGAGUCUGUAUUUCCAUAUUUGUUUCAUUUUGAUAAAUUUCGUAUAACGUGGGCCAGCAUCAAGGCAUAUAAGAAGUUCCUUGCUCCUACUUUGUCAUGUGUCCACAAGGAAGAAUAUACUAUGUUUUUCUAAAAUCACAUUUUUAUUUAUGCACUAUAUGGAAUCUUUAAUUCCACUUAGAUAUCUCGCCUUUUGUCUAAACUUCCCUGUAACUCUCAAUUUUCCCCUACACUUAGAACCCAAGUCCCCUGGGUGACAGCUCAGAUCAGCCAGAGCCAUAAACUCCCAGAAUGACAUUUGUGAUUGGGGUGUAAUGGGUGUAUGAGCAGCUCAGCAACCUGCUGUUAAGGAAGAAGCUAUCAUAGCAUAUCUUCACAAUGGCUUUUAAUAGCUCGCAGCCACUGAAGCACAUCAUUCAUUUUUUUCUCAGUGAGAAGGCUUCUUUUUAUGGCAGCACAGUGAUCUUUUUCUCUCUUGAACUCCUUAGAACUUUGUUUGUUCCCACCUUCUCCUGUCAGGCAAUUUAACCCAGUGGUUAAGUGGUUAGAACCACAUUGCUUGGUUUUGAAUUCAGGCUCUCCCAUUUACUAAUUGUGUUGACCAUGGGCAGAUGACUUAUCCUUUUUUGUGUCUUUGUUUUCUUAUCUGUAAAAUGGACCUACUAACAGUACUUCAUAAAUAGGGGUUAAGACGAAGAUUAAAUAAAUAAAUCUAUAUACAACA
rnacentral:lncRNA from 12 species